rnacentral:rRNA from 1 species
UACGUAGGUGACAAGCGUUGUCCGGAUUUACUGGGCGUAAAGAGCGCGCAGGCGGUCGUUCAAGUCGAGUGUGAAAUCCCCCGGGCUUAACCUGGGAAUGGCAUUUGGGACUGCAAGGCUGGAGUUUGGCAGAGGAGACUGGAAUUCCUGGUGUAGCAGUGAAAUGCGUAGAUAUCAGGAGGAACACCGAUGGCGAAGGCAGGUCUCUGGGCUGAAACUGACGCUCAUGCACGAAAGCGUGGGGAGCAAACAGG